rnacentral:lncRNA from 1 species
UCCCCAAAUGAUCUUGUGCCUUCCAUCCAACCUUAAACACCUAUGGACAGCCUGGCCCAGCCCUAAAUCUAGCCAGAGGAGUUGCACACCAGCCCUCUGCCAUUUAGAGCUGCCUUAACCCACCCUGGACUUUUGAAAGCCAAAAGUCCUAGCCAGAGAAAGGGCCAACUGAAUAGGGACUGAGUUUCCAGGAUAAAUGAUUCAAUGUGCAGAAGUUCCUAGAGAUGCUUGCUCUCUCAGGGAACUUGUGGCAAAUGGGGGGUUUCAAACCUCUCAUUUAGAGCCCUGUGAUUGUAGUGAGGUCAGCCCUGCCAAGUGCCUGCCACCCAGACAUGCUCUCCCUGGGACUUUAGGUAGGUCAUGACCAAUCAUGAGCCCUAGAGCUUAAAAGAUCCUUUAGCUCUUGCCUAAUGUGGUCACCCCUGUCUGUACAGGAAGUCCUACUCACAAAUGUUCGCAAGGCAAUUUCAAAAACACCUGUCAACCAAAGCUUACGUAGACCCUCUUCUCUAUAUGUUAGAAGAAUAUAUGAUGUUCUUUCUAUUCCAGGACGUAUAACAUUGGAAAGAAGCAAUUUACUCAUCUAGACUUGGAGAGUCUGGCUCAACAUCAAAUUAAAAUCAUGAUCAUUUCCAGAGACGAUGGUGAUAUUGGAAGGAGACGAUUACCCAUCUCUAGUCCUGACCCUUCACUCAAGCCCCACUGCUGCCUCAAACAAUCCAUGGCCAUGGCACCUCAAACCUCUCCUUUGCAUCACUGUCAGAGCUGUCCAGAUGGGUUCUGCUUGGUUGGUGGAUUCGCAGGCCUUGGACUGUGGGGCUGACUCGAGAUAAUUUCCACACGCCACUGAGCAUUUUUACUGGGAAGCGUUUCUUUCCUUCUCCUGGAUGAUGGUGUUAUCGGACUUGUAUAGAUUAGGAGGGAGACCUUAGGUUUCAGAAUCAGACUGACCUUAAUUCAAGUCCAAGCUACCCACUAGUAUUGGGCAAAUUAUUGUACUCAGAGUCUCAUAACACACAACUCACAAAUAUGUUAGCAAAAAUUAGAUACACGUAGAUAAUGCACACAGGAAACGUGGCACAUAGGAGGCAUUAAAUAAAUUUUUUCUCUUCUAUUAAAAAGUAAUGUUUGUUCUGUUUACAUUUACUUAUAUUUUGCAUUUUUUUUUCCUCUAAAACUUACAUGUGGGGCCAGAGGGUUCCAAUUUGCUUGUUGCCCGUACCUGUAGGGGAAGUGAACCUUAGCAGGUUUGGUAUACAGUGC